NAANCCUAANAAACCCAAAAGAUCGAAUGGGGAGAUUCAUCGUCAUCGGCUCUGGCUUCCGUUGUGGACGCGAUGGCUCGGACCUCGGUUCGGCGUCACGCGUUCGCUGAGGUUAUGUCCGGAGUCGUCGGCGUGCACUUCUCCCCUAGUAGGACGUCGCGACCCGCUGGGUGCUGGCCUACGGCCCGGUCGGUCGACUGUCGCGCAACGUUCAGCGUGCGNGCGGCAGACCACUGGUUGCCCGGCCUGCUGCCCGGCGGUAUAGAACGCUUUUACCUGGUAUCGAGCCGCAUUAAGUGCGUUCCGGCUCGUCGGCAGGCUCGUCUCGCCCGGAUUUACGGACCUAGCGCCGUUGCCGGGUGCUUGAUGGGCCGUUAGUCGACGAUGUCCUCGAACUGGCUCUUAUAUUCGA
rnacentral:rRNA from 1 species